GACGAACGCUGGCGGCGCGCCUAACACAUGCAAGUCGAACGGAGCUGAGAGAAGCUUGCUUUUCUUAGCUUAGUGGCGAACGGGUGAGUAACGCGUGAGUAACCUGCCCUGGAGUGGGGGACAACAGUUGGAAACGACUGCUAAUACCGCAUAAGCCCACGAUCCGGCAUCGGAUUGAGGGAAAAGGAUUUAUUCGCUUCAGGAUGGACUCGCGUCCAAUUAGCUAGUUGGUGAGGUAACGGCCCACCAAGGCGACGAUUGGUAGCCGGACUGAGAGGUUGAACGGCCACAUUGGGACUGAGACACGGCCCAGACUCCUACGGGAGGCAGCAGUGGGGGAUAUUGCACAAUGGGGGAAACCCUGAUGCAGCGACGCCGCGUGGAGGAAGAAGGUUUUCGGAUUGUAAACUCCUGUCGUUAGGGACGAUAAUGACGGUACCUAACAAGAAAGCACCGGCUAACUACG
rnacentral:rRNA from 1 species